GAAUCGAAACAUAUAAAAUCAGCGAUUGCAAGCUUGAAAUCGAAUAUAGAUUGUCUAAGGCUUGAUAGACGUUGACUACCCAAAGUGAUUCGACUAUUCUCAAGGACUACGAGUGUACGUUUUGGCCUAAUAGACUGUGCUCUAUCACCGACACAUGGUGAAUGGCAUGCAUCCUUUCGGUUACUUACGCCACUCGAGUCGUUGGAAUCCAUCGAGACUUUGGUGAGAGCUUUGUAAAACCAAAAUAGAGAGGGGAACGAGUCAUCAAGGUUCGGGUUUCACCCCUAACUUAGCGACUACAUUCCUGUUUGUGUGAUAGCAUCAUGAGAUUGAGGGAGAAAUCUGCGUCGAAGUACGGAUUUCACUCCUGAUUCAACGCAAAUUCUCGUGUUUAUAGUAAAAAUGCGGGUCGAGCAAGCGAUCUGAUCGAGAGUUUGUGGUUUUCACACCUAAUCUCGAUCUAAUCACUCGUUCAUUUUCGAAAAUAGAGCAGUGCGACUAGCUUAGGAAAGGCAGUGUGAUAGUAUAGCAUGAUUGCGAGUCGAUCGAGAAAUGGCAGUAAGCUCGUGCGGAACCCCUAACGGGUUCGCACAAGGCGGUUUGUUGGUACUUAGACUAUAGACUAGGUCGUUUCUAAGACAUUGACCCGGACUAGGUCGAGUCUUGCCUAAUUCCCUAUAGCCAUGCUGAUACCAAUCAGUCACAACCCAACCGAUGGCGGAAACAUCGGGGCGCGACACUGAGCGAAACAGAUUGUCCAUGAGAAAUUCCAUAACAACUAAAUUACCGGAUAGUUAAUAUUAUGUCCCAUACCAUAACCCAUCAAGUAAAAUCAAUUAUUACAGACAUCGAUAUCUCAAAGACAAAUAACAUGUUCCGACAACUUAGAUUUAAAUAAAUAAAUUGUCUUUGUUUCUAGACUCCAUCCUAACUUGAUUUCCAGCAAGUAACAAGCAAAGCAUCCUAAGCACCUGCCACAUACAUUAAAAUAGAGGUCAAUACACAUAGUGUAAAUGUGAGCAUACAAGUUUAAUAAUAUAAUAGAGUUCGAAAUCGUUUACGCCUAACCAGCACGUAACAUGUAACAAAGUGAAGGCUAGUAGGUUAUCGACAGAGAAAUAUGCACAUACAUGACUGCGAGUUGUAGAAUGCGCAACACAUAUCCCCACUGAGACAUGUGAAGUAAAGCCCUUAACAACCCCUGUCCACGAAAGGUGCUGAGUCCAAACUAUAGUACUAUCGUUGCUAAGGUGUCAGGCUACAAUCACUGUGUUAACAUAACAUACAAGCAUUCAUAACACGUAGCAUGCAAUAACGGUCAGCGUAUAAAUAGUGUUUGCGUUGAGUAUCGUUUGUGAUUUAAAUAAGUAACGUAUGUAACACCCAAAAGUGCGUAAAGCAAAAAGGGUUCGAGUAUACUCACAGAUAGCGUUUAAGUUAAUAAACACUGCCUUGGAUUGAAGGGAGCGCUGAGAGAGUAGCCUAAACAGUUAACGAUAGCAUAAGCGAAGAACGGCGUGUUAAACAGGAAAAGUGACUAAGUGUCAAAUGGUAAUCCAGUCGGAUGGUCAUUCGAUCGGAUGUCAAUCCGUUCGGAUGGUCAUCCGAUCGGAUGGCCAUUCGGUCGGAUUGACACUCGUUUGAAAAGGGAUGUGUUUGUGUAUGAUGGCUUUGAAGUUUUUGUUGUAGCAUUUUGAAAACAGAGAAGUAUCUCUACCCUUCAGGUAGACCGAUCGAACGGUCGUUCGAUCGGAUAGCGAUUCGAUCGGCGAGACAUUUCUAGUGAGAACAAGUUCACAGCAGGAUUGUCACUCAAUCGGAUAGCAAUCCGAUCGGAUGGCAAUCCGAUCGGAUGGCAAUCCGUUAGAAACUGAUGUUCUUUGAAAAUUAUGAAAAUGAUUAAGUGUCGAAGUUCCAAAUGUCAGUCGAUCGGAUGGUCGUUUGAUUGGAUGGCAAUCUGAUCGGACGGCAAUCCAUUCGACAUGCAGUUUGUUUGAAAACUUGAAAAUUGACUAAGUAUGGAAGCUCAAGUGCAAUCCGGUCGGAUUGUAGUUCGAUCGGAUGGCAAUCCGAUCGGACGGCAAUCCAUCCCAACGAACCUGAUCGUCUUGAACUUGAUUAGUUUUGAAAGUUUUGUAGUUUGAUCGAGACGGUGUGAUAAUGUGCUAAACAACGGAACCUCGUCAAGUCCCAAGUCGCCCGAUCGAACAGGAACUACCCUAAUCCGACCAGUUAGCUGUUCUUGACGGUUGUUCAUGUUCAUCCCGAAAUCGGUUGUCUCUUUGAUAGAAACCAGAUCUCAGACCGACACUUCACUAAGAGUUGAGUAGAAGAUCUGAAUGAGCUCCUAUUCUAUCAGUUUUGAGUGCAUUGAGUGUAAAAGAGUUGAAAGAAUGCUGGAAAAGUAUCCUUGAAUCCUUUUAACUUUGAAAAUGUUUAGAUCUAUGCGAAAUCGUUGUGAAAUCACGUGGAAAUCCUUCAGAUCAGAGUUAUUCUUGGUGGAUUGAGGUCAAAACUUGAAGUUCAUAAGAACUCCAUGAUGACAUCACCCUAGAACACUUCAAAUCCGUUGAUUUCACGGUUAAAAGUUAAGAUUCAAAGGUAAGAAGAUGAAUGAGUGUAUGUAGAUCAUAGAUGUAUAAGAUUUAGGUUGAAAACUUACAAGAAUCGCGAGAAAUCGAGAGAAAAGAGGGUUGGAGCGUGUUGGUCGGUGGAGAGAGAGUUGUCACAUCACUUGUGAUGUGACAGGAGGUAUUUAUAGGUUGCCAAAAAGGGAAAGGGAGUGCAAGUGUCGGAUAGCAUGCCGAUCGGAUGACACUUCAAUCGGAUGGCAAUCCGAUCGGAUGGCCAUUCGAUCGAACGGUCAUUCGAUCGAGUGGCUCCGACGAGUUGUGUUUCGAAAUUUCGUUUCACGUUUUGGACGUUGCGAUGCGUUUAAGCGAGUAUUGAUUUAGCGAUGCGAUAGAUUAAUAAUAGUCACACACAAGCCCUAUAUCUAACACACAAUCAUCAAUAAUUAACUUGCGUUUAGCGUUUGCGAUUAAAUUGUGUUGCAAUAGAGUUGCGAUUGCGUUUCGAUUAGUCACCACAAACAUAAAGUAAACAUGUACAAGUAACACAUAAGUAACACACACACGUAAAACAAUACACUGAACCUAUAAAUCAAGUUGCGAAUGCGAUGCGAUUAGUGAUAAAGCGAUAAAACAUCGAUUAAACCUCGAUUAUUAAUAGAUACUCCACAUAAUACAACUAAAGCGAUAAAAUAAAAGAUUCGAUCACAAGUCAAAGAAGUAAAGUCAGUAGUUAAGCAAAGAGUGACAGAUCGCAAUUAGCAAUCUUUUCUUUCUUUGACUUUGACUUCCGUAACACGGGGUGUUACACCUACGCACCCGCCAAGAACUCUAUGUAAACAACCAUGGUAAGUGUUGGUAAGGGCUGCCAAAACAGAUUGUGAACGUGAAGACAACAAUGAGCGUUUCUGGGUUGAAUCGAGGUGUAUGAACGGUGGGUCUGUACAAACAACCAUGGUAAGGUUUUGUGUAAAUGAAAUCGUCUUUAUUCAAAGUUUUGUGUAAAUGUAUACAUUUAUCGACAUUUAUGUAUAUUCAUUUUUGUUUAUUGUUUUCUAUUUGUUGGAAAAUGGCCUAUGAGUCUAUAUGAAGAAAAAAGUGAGAGCUAGAGCUUCUUGUGCAAAAGAAGGAGUUAUCAUAAGAAUCAUUUAUCCAAAAUGAUUGCACCAAAGACACUUCAUAUGUUAGCAAGAAUGAACAAGAAUAAACAAGUUCAACGAUUGUGAUAAUCAUCAUAUCCAAAAUGAUUGCACCCAAAGACAGUUCAAUAUCCUAGAUUCGCCACUGCCAGUAACUUAAGUAUCCAUUUUUUGAAAAUAGGGACUCAUGUUGAUUUUUGCAACAUAACAUAGGGACACAAAUUACACUUUACUUAUUAAAAUAAAAAUUAAUCACGAUUAGUUAUAAU
rnacentral:lncRNA from 1 species